GAGUUAGGGACCCCUGGUGUAUACGUUCUGAAAUGCCAGUAUUUCAAAUCAGGACUAACACUAAAAAGCACAUUACAGUUUUAAACAUUGUGCACCAAGGAUAAUAUUAACACUCCUGAUGACCUGGCAGUUUAGAAAACAAGAGCCUGAGUAUGGCACUGGCCAAUUAUUAAACCAAAUCAAAACCCUCUGAGGGAAAACCAUGAUGGCCUCUUACAUCCAGAGUUCAGCACCUAGCCAAACUUAGCUGGCACUUUUCCCAUCUGUGUACUUGGUGCUAUGAAUGCUUUAUAUUACCUAUUGACUUAGCCUGCAUCGAUCCUCUAGAAUGUAUCGCACAAAUCAUUUUGCACUAAACUGCUGAAUCAAUAAA